rnacentral:rRNA from 2 species
AUGCAUGUCUAAGUUCACACUGUCUCACGGUGAAACCGCGAACGGCUCAUUAAAUCAGUCGAGGUUCCUUAGAUGACACGAUCCUACUUGGAUAACUGUGGCAAUUCUAGAGCUAAUACAUGCUUAUGAAGCUCCGACCCUCGUGGAAAGAGCGCUUUUAUUAGUUCAAAACCAAUCGCGGGCUCGCUCGCGUCCCCAUUGGUGACUCUGGAUAACUUUGUGCUGAUCGCAUGGCCUUCGUGCUGGCGACGCAUCUUUCAAAUGUCUGCCCUAUCAAAUGUCGAUGGUACGUGAUAUGCCUACCAUGUUUGUAACGGGUAACGGGGAAUCAGGGUUCGAUUCCGGAGAGGGAGCAUGAGAAACGGCUACCACA